rnacentral:rRNA from 1 species
AUUGAACGCUGGCGGCAGGCUUAACACAUGCAAGUCGAGCGGAGUGAUGGUGCUUGCACUAUCACUUAGCGGCGGACGGGUGAGUAAUGCUUAGGAAUCUGCCUAUUAGUGGGGGACAACAUCUCGAAAGGGAUGCUAAUACCGCAUACGUCCUACGGGAGAAAGCAGGGGAUCACUUGUGACCUUGCGCUAAUAGAUGAGCCUAAGUCGGAUUAGCUAGUUGGUGGGGUAAAGGCCUACCAAGGCGACGAUCUGUAGCGGGUCUGAGAGGAUGAUUCGCGACACUGGGACUGAGACGCGGCCCAGACUCCUACGGGAGGCAGCAGUGGGGAAUAUUGGACAAUGGGGGGAACCCUGAUCCAGCCAUGCCGCGUGUGUGAAGAAGGCCUUAUGGUUGUAAAGCACUUUAAGCGAGGAGGAGGCUCUUUUGGUUAAUACCCAAGAUGAGUGGACGUUACUCGCAGAAUAAGCACCGGCUAACUCUGUGCCAGCAGCCGCAGUAA